AAAAAUUUCAUGUUCAUAUCAUGUAUGUACUAUUGUGAAAUUGUGAUUUAAUCGGAAAAAAAGUGGGUCAUGCCACGAAGAAUAAAAAGUUACGUAAACCUGAAGUCAAAACAUUUUUUUUCUACUUUCUGUUUGCUGUUUUUACUAGGCCGCACCACUUCCAGUAAACAUGAUAUCCUUCCAUUUUCCUGGAUUGAUAUCCCCAAAAGAUGCAAGAUUUUUUUAAAGUCUAUAUAUAUGUUUCAAUUCAGCAUAAACCUAUAAUCAAACAGAAAAAAUUGAGUUCAGAAAUUUUUCUAAAAAAAAAUGCACUAUUUUAUUUCCCUCCAUGUUUUGACAUGCAUUAGAAACUGGAGUUGUAAUACAAGACUGGUACCUAUAAGGACUAGUCUCAGUUAUUGUGUAAACAGACAGUAGGUAGAUUUUGACAUUCUGAACAUCAAUGCUGCCAACUCUUCAAAUAUACUGGUUCAUUUCCCAACUUUACAACUUUCAUGUUAACAUGAUGAGGUAGUUUUACAAUUUAUAAAUAAGAAAAAGAAAUACAUGUAUGGACAGUUAAAAUAAAAAGAAACUUUUAAUAUAUUCUUCAUUUUAUUACCUAAAACAUAUAACUAUAAUCUAACAAUAUAUUCUUCUAACUUGUAUAUAAAAUCACUCUAGAUUUAGCACACAUCUUUUUAGGUUGAUUAGAAAUAAUGUAUACUCCCACUACUCACAAAAUCCACAAAAAGGCCUAAUUCUUUAUCGCAUCCCAACCUCCAAUUGAGAAGGGGGAUAUAAUUAACAAGAUUAAAAUUUAUAUCAAAAGUAUACAUAUUUCAAACAGUAUACUAUCAAACACUAUAAGUUCAUACAUGUCAAAAAUUGCACUAUGAAAAUAUAAAAGAUUCUUAAAAAGUACCCAUUUUUAAAAGCUGCCAUUUAAAAAAGAUAGAAAAAACAUUAGAUAUAUAAUAAACUAGUAUAUAUAUAUAUAUAUAUAUACACAAAAAAUUAUAAAAAUAUUUGACACGCUAUUAUUUGAACUUGGAAUUAUUAUUAAUUAUGGAAUUUGCAUAAUUACUUGAGCUUGAAAUUUUUAAUGAAUUCCAUGUUUAUUCUGUAUAAUAAUGUUCUGUGCCGCGCACAACACUUUCUAUAACAAAUAAGAUAGUAUAUUUUCGAUAGAAUGCACUGUGCCGCGCACAACACUAUCUAUACAAAAUACAUUGUGUGGAAAGUGUUAUGCACUGCUCAAAACAUUAUGAUACUGAAUAAACAUG
rnacentral:lncRNA from 1 species